rnacentral:rRNA from 1 species
GAUGAACGCUGGCGGCGUGCCUAAUACAUGCAAGUCGAGCGAACAGACGAGGAGCUUGCUCCUCUGACGUUAGCGGCGGACGGGUGAGUAACACGUGGAUAACCUACCUAUAAGACUGGGAUAACUUCGGGAAACCGGAGCUAAUACCGGAUAAUAUAUUGAACCGCAUGGUUCAAUAGUGAAAGACGGUUUUGCUGUCACUUAUAGAUGGAUCCGCGCCGCAUUAGCUAGUUGGUAAGGUAACGGCUUACCAAGGCAACGAUGCGUAGCCGACCUGAGAGGGUGAUCGGCCACACUGGAACUGAGACACGGUCCAGACUCCUACGGGAGGCAGCAGUAGGGAAUCUUCAGCAAUGGGCGAAAGCCUGACGGAGCAACGCCGCGUGAGUGAUGAAGGUCUUCGGAUCGUAAAACUCUGUUAUUAGGGAAGAACAAAUGUGUAAGUAACUAUGCACGUCUUGACAGUACCUAAUCAGAAAGCCACGGCUAACUACGUG